rnacentral:rRNA from 1 species
CCUACGGGUGGCAGCAGUGGGGAAUAGUGCACAAUGGGCGAAAGCCUGAUGCAGCAACGCCGCGUGAAGGAAGAAGGGUUUCGGCUCGUAAACUUCUAGCAACAGGGACGAAAGAAAUGACGGUACCUGAAGAAGAAGCCACGGCUAACGCCGGGCCAGCAGCCGCGGUAAUACGUCGGGGGCAAGCGUGAUCCGGAAUUACUGGGUGUAAAGGGUGCGUAGGCGGCAUGGUAAGCCAGCUGUGAAAGCCUUGGGCUUAACCCGAGGAUUGCAUUUGGAACGCUAAAGCUAGAGUACAGGCGCGGCACGCUGACUUCCUCGUGUAGCUGUGAAAUGCGUAUAUCUUAGGACGACCACCCGUGGC